GACGUAGGGCGCGAGCGUUUGUCCGGAAUUACUGGGCGUAAAGGGCUCGUAGGCGGCCAACUAAGUCAGACGUGAAAUCCCUCGGCUUAACCGGGGAACUGCCUCUGAUACUGGAUGGCUUGAGAUUGGGAGAGGGAUGCGGAAUUCCAGGUGUAGCGGUGAAAUGCGUAGAUAUCUGGAGGAACACCGGUGGCGAAGGCGGCAUCCUGGACCAACACUGACGCUGAGGAGCGAAAAGCCAGGGGAGCAAACGGGG
rnacentral:rRNA from 1 species